rnacentral:lncRNA from 1 species
GGGUUCUUCGCGUGCUCCUGUCAUGGGGAUUGCCCAUCAUCAGACCUAACAUCUUCUUCUUGGAUCAUAGUUAAGCAUCUAUUAGUAGUCCAACAAGACGAGAUCAUUGUUGCGGUUGAAAUCCAUACUGGAUCGGAAUGGCUGGAGUCGGAUGAGGAAUAAUUGUAGAAAAUUGAGUCCAUAUUUUUGAUUAAACCAAAUAGAUCUUGAUUGAGGCUCAGUGGUUGAGCCUGA